CCUACGGGGGGCUGCAGCGACGAAUCUUCCGCAAUGGGCGCAAGCCUGACGGAGCGACGCCGCGUGUGGGAUGAAGCGUCUACGACGUGUAAACCACUGUCAGAGGACAGAAACACUGAUUGUCCUCAGAGGAAGGGGCGACUAACUCUGUGCCAGCAGUCGCGGUAAGACAGAGGCCCCAAGCGUUAAUCGGAAUCACUGGGCUUAAAGGGUGCGUAGGUGGAUCAGCAAGUGCCUUGUGAAAGCCCCCGGCUCAACCGGGGAACUGCGGGGCAUACUGCUGGUCUUGAGGCAGGUAAGGGUCGCCGGAACAGUAGGUGGAGCGGUGAAAUGCGUAGAUAUCUACUGGAACGCCGAUGGUGAAGACGGGCGACUGGGCCUGACCUGACACUGAGGCACGAAAGCGUGGGGAGCAAACAGGAUUAGAUACCCCAGUAGUC
rnacentral:rRNA from 1 species